rnacentral:pre_miRNA from 1 species
AUACAAAUCACACAGGCAUCUUGUUAAAAUGUAGAUUCUAAUUCAGCAAAUUGAGGAAGGGAACUGAGAUUCUGCAUUUCUAACAAGCUCCUAGGUGAUAUUGAU